UGACUAUUUUACCGGCGACAUACAUAGGUAGCCCGCGUCAUUUGCAUGAGUAUGCUCAAGAUGCAAUGACAUAUGUUCGUCAUUAUGGUCGGCCAGAUGUAUUCAUUACACUUACAUGUAAUCCAAAAUGGAUAGAAAAUAUUCAAUUGCUGCUUCCCGGACAAACAUCAAGUGAUCGACACGACAUCACCGCACGUGUUUUCAGGCAAAAAUUUCGGUCACUAAUGACUUACAUUGUUAAGCAAUACGUCUUUGGGAAUACUCGAUGCUGAAUGUAUUCAAUCGAAUGGCAAAAACGAGGCUUACCGCAUGCUCACAUUCUGAUUUGGUAAGUCGAAAGAAUUCGGCCAGAUCAAAUAGAUGACAUCAUAUGUGCGGAGACUCCUGCUCCUGAAACCGAUCCAGACCUACAUGAUAUUGUGGUCACAAAUAUGAUUCAUGGACCGUGUGGCACUAUCAACCGACAAUCACCGUGCAUGGUCGACGGCAAGUGUUCCAAACGGUAUCCACGAUAAUUUACGGCAGAGACCAUUACAGGCAACGAUGGUUAUCCAUUGUAUCGGCGUCGAUCGCCCGAUGAUAAUGGUAGAACUGUCACAACUAAAGUGAAAGGAAACGAUUUCGUAGUUGACAACAGUUGAAUUGUUCCAUAUUCGCCACUUCUUUCCAAAACAUUCAAAGCACAUUGUAAUGUUGAAUAUUGCAAUUCGGUCAAGUCAAUUAAAUACAUUUGCAAAUAUGUCACGAAAGGGAGCGACAUGGCGGUUUUUGGUAUCCAAACAUCCAAUACCAACGAUGAAAUCACGCGCUAUCAAGUUGGUAGAUAUGUGAACUGCAAUGAAGCAAUUUGGCGUAUAUUUUCAUUCCCUAUUCACGAACGUCAUUCCACUGUUUUACAUUUGGGGGUGUAUCUAGAGAACGGUCAGAGAGUAUAUUUAACAGCGUCGAAUGCUGCUCAAUGUGCCGAAACACCUCCAGCGACAACAC
rnacentral:lncRNA from 1 species